CAAUAGCGUAUAUUAAAGUUGUUGCGGUUAAAAAGCUCGUAGUUGGAUUUCUGCUGAGAACGACCGGUCCGCCCUUUGGGUGUGUAUCUGGCUCUUUCUUGGCAUCUUCUUGGUGAACGUUGCUGCACUUGACUGUGUGGAGCGCUACCCAGGACUUUUACUUUGAGGAAAUUAGAGUGUUUCAAGCAGGCAUACGCCUUGAAUACAUUAGCAUGGAAUAAAAAGAUAGGACCUCGGUUCUAUUUUGUUGGUUUCUAGAGCUGAGGUAAUGAUUAAUAGGGAUAGUUGGGGGCAUUCGUAUUUAACUGUCAGAGGCGAAAUUCUUGGAUUUGUUAAAGACGGACUACUGCGAAAGCAUUUGCCAAGGAUGUUUCAUUG
rnacentral:rRNA from 1 species